UACCGAGGUCCCAAGCGUUGUUCGGAUUCACUGGGCGUAAAGGGUGCGUAGGCGGUCGGGUAAGUCUGACGUGAAAUCUCCAAGCUCAACUUGGAAAUGGCGUCGGAUACUAUUCGGCUCGAGGAAUGGAGGGGAGACUGGAAUUCUCGGUGUAGCAGUGAAAUGCGUAGAUAUCGAGAGGAACACCAGUGGCGAAGGCGAGUCUCUGGACAUUUCCUGACGCUGAGGCACGAAAGCCAGGGGAGCAAACGGG
rnacentral:rRNA from 1 species